rnacentral:piRNA from 1 species
ACUUCUCAUGUAUGUAAAUGGACGGUUGUGU